rnacentral:pre_miRNA from 1 species
UGAGGGAGCGGGGAUGGGGAGGACAGAAGCAAAAGAAAGAAUGAAUUCUUUGCACUCUUUCCUUCCUGUUUCUUCUUCCU